UCCCUGGUGGCUCAGAGGGUAAAGCGUCUGCCUGCAGUGCAGGAGACCCGGGUUCGAUCCCUGGGUUAGGAA
rnacentral:tRNA from 1 species